AUGAACGCUGGCGGCGUGCCUCAUACCUGCCAGUCGAGCGCACAGACGAGGAGCUUGCUCCUCUGACGUUAGCGGCGGACGGGUGAGUAACACGUGGAUAACCUACCUAUAAGACUGGGAUAACUUCGGGAAACCGGAGCUAAUACCGGAUAAUAUAUUGAACCGCAUGGUUCAAUAGUGAAAGACGGUUUUGCUGUCACUUAUAGAUGGAUCUGCGCCGCAUUAGCUAGUUGGUAAGGUAACGGCUUACCAAGGCAACGAUGCGUAGCCGACCUGAGAGGGUGAUCGGCCACACUGGAACUGAGACACGGUCCAGACUCCUACGGGAGGCAGCAGUAGGGAAUCUUCCGCAAUGGGCGAAAGCCUGACGGAGCAACGCCGCGUGAGUGAUGAAGGUCUUCGGAUCGUAAAACUCUGUUAUUAGGGAAGAACAAAUGUGUAAGUAACUAUGCACGUCUUGACGGUACCUAAUCAGAAAGCCACGGCUAACUACGUG
rnacentral:rRNA from 1 species